GACGAACGCUGGCGGCGUGCUUAACACAUGCAAGUCGAACGGAAAGGCCUUUUCGGAGGUACUCGAGUGGCGAACGGGUGAGUAACACGUGGGUGAUCUGCCCUGCACUCUGGGAUAAGCCUGGGAAACUGGGUCUAAUACCGGAUAGGACCGCACUUUAGUGUGUGUGGUGGAAAGUUUUUUCGGUGUAGGAUGAGCCCGCGGCCUAUCAGCUUGUUGGUGGGGUAAUGGCCUACCAAGGCGGCGACGGGUAGCCGGACUGGGAGGUUGGUCGGCCACAUGGGACUUGGAAUAGGCCCCGGCCUCCUACGGGAGGAGGAGGUGGGGAAUAUGCACAAUGGGCGCAAGCCUGAUGCAGCGACGCCGCGUGGGGGAUGACGGCCUUCGGGUUGUAAACUCCUUUCGCCAGGGACGAAGCGUUUUGUGACGGUACCUGGAGAAGAAGCACCGGCUAACUACGUG
rnacentral:rRNA from 1 species